UACGAAGGGGGCUAGCGUUGUUCGGAAUUACUGGGCGUAAAGCGCACGUAGGCGGAUCGAUCAGUCAGGGGUGAAAUCCCAGGGCUCAACCCUGGAACUGCCUUUGAUACUGGCGAUCUUAGAGUCCGGGAGAGGUGAGUGGAACUCCGAGUGUAGAGGUGAAAUUCGUAGAUAUUCGGAAGAACACCAGUGGCGAAGGCGGCUCACUGGCCCGGUACUGACGCUCAGGUGCGAAAGCGUGGGGAGCAAACAGG
rnacentral:rRNA from 1 species